UACUGUGGACUUAUUUGAUUAAAUUAGAUUUAUUUUAAUUGUUUAUUAUAGUUUAUUUAAUUUUGGUGAAAUAUAUUUAUAUAUAUAUUUAAUGUUAUUAUAUAGAAUUAAUUUUUUAUAAUUAGGAUUAGAUACCCUAUUAAUAAUAGGUUUUAUUUUCUAAGGAAUAUAUAUAAAAUAAAAAUAUUUGGCGGCUAUUUAUAUUAAAGGGAUUUGCUUUUUUAUCGAUUUACCUCGUUUUUUAUUAUUUAGUUUGUUUUUGUAUACCGUCAUUUAGAUAAUUUUUAUAAAGUUAAUUAUGUAAAUUAUUUUCUAUAAAUUAGAUCAAGGUGCAGAUAUAAUUAAUUUUAAGUUAAUGACAAUAAUUUAUUAUUAUACAGUAUAUUUUUAAUUUAUUAGAACAGGAGGAUUUAAGUGUAAUAGAAGUUACUUGAAAUUAAGUUAAUAGUGUACAAAUUGCCCGUCAUUCUCUAUGAG
rnacentral:rRNA from 1 species